UUACGGUCAUAUCACCUUGAGACACCGUUUCUCGUACGAUCACCGCAGUUAAACAACGUCAGACGUGUUCAGUAUCUAAAUGGGUGAAUGCUUGGGAAUAUCAGGUGUUGUAA